GACUAACCGUGCGAACGUUGUUCGGAAUCACUGGGCUUAAAGGGCGCGUAGGCGGGCUGUCAAGUCUGGGGUGAAAUGCCGCGGCUCAACCGUGGAACUGCCUUAGAUACUGACGGCCUCGAGGAAGGUAGGGGCAUGCGGAACUGUAGGUGGAGCGGUGAAAUGCGUAGAUAUCUGGAGGAACACCGGUGGCGAAGGCGGCAUCCUGGACCAAUAUUGACGCUGAGGAGCGAAAGCCAGGGGAGCAAACGGG
rnacentral:rRNA from 1 species